rnacentral:rRNA from 1 species
GACGAACGCUGGCGGCGUGCUUAACACAUGCAAGUCGAACGAUGAACCCGGAGCUUGCUCCGGUGGAUUAGUGGCGAACGGGUGAGUAACACGUGAGUAACCUGCCCUUGACUCUGGGAUAACUGCGGGAAACUGUAGCUAAUACCGGAUACGACCUUCGGCGGCAUCGCCAGGGGGUGGAAAGAAUUUCGGGCAAGGAUGGACUCGCGGCCUAUCAGCUAGUUGGUGAGGUAACGGCUCACCAAGGCGACGACGGGUAGCCGGCCUGAGAGGGUCACCGGCCACACUGGUAGUGAGACACGGCCAAGACUCCCACGGGAGGCAGCAGUGGGGAAUAUUGCACAAGGGGCGCAAGCCUGAUGCAGCAACGCCGCGUGAGGGAUGACGGCCUUGGGGUUGAAAACCUCUUUUAGGAGGAAAGAAGCGAAAGUGACGGUACCUGCAGAAAAAGCACCGGCUAACUACGUGCCAGCAGCCGCCGUAA